CCUACGGGUGGCAGCAGUGAGGAAUAUUGGUCAAUGGGCGAGAGCCUGAACCAGCCAAGCAGCGUGAAGGAUGACUGCCCUACGGGUUGUAAACUUCUUUUAUAGGGGAAUAAAGUGCGGCACGUGUGCCUUUUUGCGUGUACUUUAUGAAUAAGGAUCGGCUAACUCCGUGCCAGCAGCCGCGGUAAUACGGAGGAUCCGAGCGUUAUCCGGAUUUAUUGGGUUUAAAGGGUGCGUAGAUGGGUUGUUAAGUCAGUUGUGAAAGUUGGCGGCUCAACCGUAAAAUUGCAAUUGAGACUGGCAGUCUUGAGUACAGUUGAGGUAGGCGGAAUGCGUGGUGUAGCGGUGAAAUGCUUAGAUAUCACGAAGAACUCCGAUUGCGAAGGCAGCUUACUAAACUGCCACUGACAUUGAGGCUCGAAAGUGUGGGUAUCAAACAGGAUUAGAUACCCGGGUAGUC
rnacentral:rRNA from 1 species